CACGUAGGGCGCAAGCGUUGUCCGGAAUUAUUGGGCGUAAAGAGCUCGUAGGUGGUUUGUUACGUCUGCUGUGAAAUCCUAGGGCUUAACCCCGGACUUGCAGUGGGUACGGGCAGACUAGAGUGUGGUAGGGGAGACUGGAAGUUCCUGGUGUAGCGGUGGAAAUGACGCAGAUAUCAGGAGGAACACCGAGUGGCGAAGGCAGGUCUCUGGGCCACUACUGACGCUGGAGAAGCGGAAAGCAUGGGGAGCGAACAGG
rnacentral:rRNA from 1 species